rnacentral:RNase_P_RNA from 1 species
GUAGGUAAGUGCCUGACUAUCCUGACAAUGGGAGGAAAGUCCACACACUAAAUAAUCGGUCGCUUAAUAAUAUUAAGUCGGAGAAAUCCGAGGCAACCGCUCAGAAACGGCACGUCCUUAUAUCGUUAAAACCCAUGAUGUUGCGAAGUUUUCGGUGACGAAAAUGAGUUAACCAGCUGAGAAGAUAUGAGGGAACGAUGAAACGGCGAGUCCCGACUUAGUGCAAGUCUUAGAGACGCUUAGUCGAAUGUCAGAGGAUCUGUUCGUGUUUUUCAAACGAAGGUCUUAACAGAAAGUGGCUUACACUUGCCUAC